AUAUGCAAUCAGAAGAUUGAAUGUUGUAGCCUCCUGUGGAGGGCUAAAAAAAAAAAAAAAAGGGAAAAAAAAAAGUUCAGAAAAGUGAAUUAACCCCUUCCCUAUUAAAAGUUUAAAUCAUCCCCCUUUUUCCAUUUUUUAAACAAAAUAAUGUAAUAAAAAAAAAAAAUGUGGUACCGACUCGUGCGUAAAUGUCCGAACUUUUAAAAUAUAAGGUUAUCUAAACCGCACGGUCAGUGGCGUACACCAGUAUUAAUCCCUCCAGUACUAUCAGCAACCGGUACCCGCGGCUAAUACCGGACAUCGCCAGUAGGGCUAAUGUCCGGUAUUAACCCUUUAGAUGCCGCGAUCAAAGUUGAUCGCGGUGUCUAAAAUGGGAGAAUAUGCUGCCGGUUAGCUCAGCUGAGCUGUUCGGGACCGCCGCAGUGAAAUUGCAGCAUCCCGAACAGCUAAGAGGACAGCGGGAGGUGUCUUACCUUGUUCCCGGUUCUCCAUUCGGCGUUUGAUUGCUCCUAUUGAGCAAUCAAGCGCAGAAAACACUUAUCAAUGCAAUCCUAUGGCAAUGCAUUGAACAGUGCCUGCAAUCAGUGUAUGCAAUAUUAUAGCCCCUAGAAGGGGCUAUAACACUGCAUACAAAAAGUAAAAAAUAAAAAUAAAAGUAAAUAAAUGUGAUUGAACCCCUUCCCUAAUAAAAAUCAGAAUCACCCCCCUUUCCCAUUUAAAAAAAAGUGUGUAAAUAUAAAUAAAUAAAAACAAACAUGUGGUAUCACCGCGUGUGUAAAUGUCCAAACUAUAAAAUUAUAUCGUUAAUUAAACCGUACGGUCAAUGGCAUACGCGCAAAAAAUUCCAAAGUCCAGAAUAGCGUAUUUUUGGUCACUUUUUAUACCAUAAAAAAUUAAUAAAAAGCGAUCAAAAAGUCCGAUCAAAAAUGGUACAGAUAAAAACUUCAGAUAACGGCGCAAAAAAUGAGCCCUCAUACUGCCCCAUUCGUGGAACAAUAAAAAAGUUAUAGGGGUCAGAAAAUGACAAUUUUUUUAAUGUAUUAAUUUUCAUGCAUUAAUUUUUUCCAGAAGUACGACAAAAUCAAACCUUUAUAGGUAGGAUAUUAUUUUAAUUGUAUGGAUCUACAGAAUAAAUAUAAGGUGUCAUUUUUACCAAAAAUGUACUGCAUAGAAACAGAAGCCCCCAAAAGAGACAAAAUUUUGUCUCACAAUGAUUUUUUUUUCUGUUUCACUGUAGAUUUUUGGGUAAAAUGAGAGAUUUCAUUACAAAGUAGAAUUGGUGGCACAAAAAAAAGCCUUCAUAUGGAUUUUUAGGUGCGAAAUUGAAAGGGUUAUUAUUUUUCAAAUGUAAGGAGGAAAAAACGAAAGUGCAAAAACUGAAAAACGCUUGGUCCUUAAGGGGUUAAAUUAGAGGGGCAAAGGUUUAAAAGUAAUAUCAGGAAGUAUUACAUUACUGAGAGAGUAGUGGAUGCAUGGAAUAGCCUUCCUGCAGAAGUGGUUGCUGCAAAUACAGUGAAGGAGUUUAAACAUGCGUGGGAUAAGCAUAAGGCUAUCCUUCAUAUAAAAUAGGGCCAGUGAUUAUUGAUAGGAUUCAGAUUAUUGGGCAGACUAGAUGGGCCAAAUGGUUCUUAUCUGCCGACACAUUCUAUGUUUCUAUGUUAGGGUGAGGACCAAGAAUUUUUCACCAGACAGUCUCCAAGCCACAGUAAACAAGGUUUGCCACAGAAAAAAAGGAAAACCAACCCAAGAAGAAAAGAAGUCAAAAUCUAAAAAGGUGAGUUUUCACUCACAAUUUUGACUGGCAAUGAUUUCUGAAUUAUUAAUUUUUUUUUCUUUCAGAAGCAUGUAGUUGUGGAAUCCUCCUCAGAGGAGGGUUCAAGUUCCGAAACAAAGAAAGUUGAAUCAACACGUUCCAGAAGCCCAAGUAUGUUAGAAGUUUACGUGAGGAAGCCGAGGAGGAGAGUGUCCCGCAUGUGUCGCCCCCCCCCCAGGACUCCCAGGAUGGGCCUUCCAAAGAUCCUGAACCACGUCCUGCGCCUCAGCCAACCAGAGGAAGAGGUGGCAGCAUUUGCGACUGAGGACGUGGUCGUGCGAGCAGAUUAAAAAUCAUUGUACAUCCAUCAGGGACAGGCAAAUGCGGGACCUUAGGGAGGAGGAAGAGAGGCCCAGUGGAUUUGGGGCCUCUAGUAAAACGCCAUACGUCCACCGGUCACUCCUUGGAUUCCUACAACAUUGCCACGAGAUGCGGAAGACACAUUCCAGUGUUAAAAGAGAGAGUGCUCAGGCCCUACAAGAAAGAUCCCCCUCCAGCCCCCGACACUGCUGAUUAAGGGCAAGAACCUUCUACCUUACCAGCUUCCUCAUGGUCCCGACUAAGUUGCCAGAGGAUCGAAGCAUCCUUUGGAGAUUUGGUCCGGCCGGUGAGGACUGGCAGGAGACAGCAUGGGAUCCUUGAAGACCUCAUAAUGCUCACAAAGGAGAGCUAUAUGAGAUUGGAUGAUAAAGUGGAAGUCUUGAGGGAAGAGCUUUGCCAGUUACUGCAGGCGGGGGCAGGGCCGUCUACUGGUCCCCCUUCAGACUCUCUACUUUAUCUCCAGAGCCUGGCUCCCAUGUUGGAGAAUCUGUCCCUUGAAAAGCAGUGUCAGUUCCCCAAGGAGUAGUUCAAACUUCUGAGUAGACUCUGCCCCCUAAUAUUCCCACCCCUUCAACACCAUUUCAACAAUUUUCAUUUUUCCAGUCCCAUUCCUAUUCCAUGGAAACCCCUAAUCCCAGAUUCUACUCAGAAAGAAGAAUCGACUCCUUGCGGCCCCUGGAGGACCCCAGCUCCAAAGGCCCUUCCGAAGACCCCCCUUAACCAGCCCACUUUUACUGAGUUAUAGGGCACAAGCCCUUUAAAAAACAUUUUAAAUAGUUAAAUUAUUUUUAUUUAAAAAACA